rnacentral:pre_miRNA from 1 species
UUGUUACUCCCUUCGUCCGAAAAUACUUGUCAUCAAAAUGGAUAAAAAGAGAUGUAUCUAUAACUAAAAUACAUCUAGAUACAUCCCCUUUUAUUCAGUUUGAUGACAAGUAUUUCCGGACGGAGGGAGUACAAA